AGCGUACACGGUGGAUGCCCUGGCAGUCAGAGGCGAUGAAGGACGUGCUAAUCUGCGAUAAGCGCCGGUAAGGUGAUAUGAACCGUUAUAACCGGCGAUUUCCGAAUGGGGAAACCCAGUGUGUUUCGACACACUAUCAUUACGUGAAUACAUAGCGUAAUGAAGCGAACCGGGGGAACUGAAACAUCUAAGUACCCCGAGGAAAAGAAAUCAACCGAGAUUCCCCCAGUAGCGGCGAGCGAACGGGGAGGAGCCCAGAGCCUGAAUCAGCAUGUGUGUUAGUGGAAGCGUCUGGAAAGGCGCGCGAUACAGGGUGACAGCCCCGUACACAAAAGCGCAUGUGCUGUGAGCUCGAUGAGUAGGGCGGGACACGUGGUAUCCUGUCUGAAUAUGGGGGGACCAUCCUCCAAGGCUAAAUACUCCUGACUGACCGAUAGUGAACCAGUACCGUGAGGGAAAGGCGAAAAGAACCCCGGCGAGGGGAGUGAAAAAGAACCUGAAACCGUGUACGUACAAGCAGUGGGAGCACAGGUUUACCUGUGUGACUGCGUACCUUUUGUAUAAUGGGUCAGCGACUUAUAUUCUGUAGCAAGGUUAACCGAAUAGGGGAGCCGGAGGGAAACCGAGUCUUAACCGGGCGUUAAGUUGCAGGGUAUAGACCCGAAACCCGGUGAUCUAGCCAUGGGCAGGUUGAAGGUUGGGUAACACUAACUGGAGGACCGAACCGACUAAUGUUGAAAAAUUAGCGGAUGACCUGUGGCUGGGGGUGAAAGGCCAAUCAAACCGGGAGAUAGCUGGUUCUCCCCGAAAGCUAUUUAGGUAGCGCCUCGUGAAUUCAUCUCCGGGGGUAGAGCACUGUUUCGGCUAGGGGGCCAUCCCGGCUUACCAACCCGAUGCAAACUGCGAAUACCGGAGAAUGUUAUCACGGGAGACACACGGCGGGUGCUAACGUCCGUCGUGAAGAGGGAAACAACCCAGACCGCCAGCUAAGGUCCCAAAGUCAUGGUUAAGUGGGAAACGAUGUGGGAAGGCCCAGACAGCCAGGAUGUUGGCUUAGAAGCAGCCAUCAUUUAAAGAAAGCGUAAUAGCUCACUGGUCGAGUCGGCCUGCGCGGAAGAUGUAACGGGGCUAAACCAUGCACCGAAGCUGCGGCAGCGACACUGUGUGUUGUUGGGUAGGGGAGCGUUCUGUAAGCCUGUGAAGGUGGCCUGUGAGGGUUGCUGGAGGUAUCAGAAGUGCGAAUGCUGACAUAAGUAACGAUAAAGCGGGUGAAAAGCCCGCUCGCCGGAAGACCAAGGGUUCCUGUCCAACGUUAAUCGGGGCAGGGUGAGUCGACCCCUAAGGCGAGGCCGAAAGGCGUAGUCGAUGGGAAACGGGUUAAUAUUCCCGUACUUGGUGUUACUGCGAAGGGGGGACGGAGAAGGCUAUGUUGGCCGGGCGACGGUUGUCCCGGUUUAAGCGUGUAGGUGUGUGUUCCAGGUAAAUCCGGUUCACUUUAACACUGAGGCGUGACGACGAGGCACUACGGUGCUGAAGCAACAAAUGCCCUGCUUCCAGGAAAAGCCUCUAAGCAUCAGGUAACAUCAAAUCGUACCCCAAACCGACACAGGUGGUCAGGUAGAGAAUACCAAGGCGCUUGAGAGAACUCGGGUGAAGGAACUAGGCAAAAUGGUGCCGUAACUUCGGGAGAAGGCACGCUGACACGUAGGUGAAGUGAUUUACUCAUGGAGCUGAAGUCAGUCGAAGAUACCAGCUGGCUGCAACUGUUUAUUAAAAACACAGCACUGUGCAAACACGAAAGUGGACGUAUACGGUGUGACGCCUGCCCGGUGCCGGAAGGUUAAUUGAUGGGGUCAGCGCAAGCGAAGCUCCUGAUCGAAGCCCCGGUAAACGGCGGCCGUAACUAUAACGGUCCUAAGGUAGCGAAAUUCCUUGUCGGGUAAGUUCCGACCUGCACGAAUGGCGUAAUGAUGGCCAGGCUGUCUCCACCCGAGACUCAGUGAAAUUGAACUCGCUGUGAAGAUGCAGUGUACCCGCGGCAAGACGGAAAGACCCCGUGAACCUUUACUAUAGCUUGACACUGAACAUUGAGCCUUGAUGUGUAGGAUAGGUGGGAGGCUUUGAAGUGUGGACGCCAGUCUGCAUGGAGCCGACCUUGAAAUACCACCCUUUAAUGUUUGAUGUUCUAACGUGGACCCGUUACCCGGGUUGCGGACAGUGUCUGGUGGGUAGUUUGACUGGGGCGGUCUCCUCCUAAAGAGUAACGGAGGAGCACGAAGGUUGGCUAAUCCUGGUCGGACAUCAGGAGGUUAGUGCAAUGGCAUAAGCCAGCUUGACUGCGAGCGUGACGGCGCGAGCAGGUGCGAAAGCAGGUCAUAGUGAUCCGGUGGUUCUGAAUGGAAGGGCCAUCGCUCAACGGAUAAAAGGUACUCCGGGGAUAACAGGCUGAUACCGCCCAAGAGUUCAUAUCGACGGCGGUGUUUGGCACCUCGAUGUCGGCUCAUCACAUCCUGGGGCUGAAGUAGGUCCCAAGGGUAUGGCUGUUCGCCAUUUAAAGUGGUACGCGAGCUGGGUUUAGAACGUCGUGAGACAGUUCGGUCCCUAUCUGCCGUGGGCGCUGGAGAAUUGAGGGGGGCUGCUCCUAGUACGAGAGGACCGGAGUGGACGCAUCACUGGUGUUCGGGUUGUCAUGCCAAUGGCACUGCCCGGUAGCUAAAUGCGGAAGAGAUAAGUGCUGAAAGCAUCUAAGCACGAAACUUGCCCCGAGAUGAGUUCU
rnacentral:rRNA from 1 species